GACGAACGCUGGCGGCGUGCUUAACACAUGCAAGUCGAACGGUAAGGCUCCAGCUUGCUGGGGUGCACGAGUGGCGAACGGGUGAGUAACACGUGGGUGACCUGCCCUGCACUUCGGGAUAAGCCUGGGAAACUGGGUCUAAUACCGGAUAGGACCAUGGUGUGGAUACUGUGGUGGAAAGUUUUUUCGGUGUGGGAUGGGCCCGCGGCCUAUCAGCUUGUUGGUGGGGUAAUGGCCUACCAAGGCGGCGACGGGUAGCCGGCCUGAGAGGGUGGACGGCCACAUUGGGACUGAGACACGGCCCAGACUCCUACGGGACGCAGCAGUGGGGAAUAUUGCACAAUGGGCGGAAGCCUGAUGCAGCGACGCCGCGUGGGGGAUGACGGCCUUCGGGUUGUAAACUCCUUUCACCAUCGACGAAGGGUUUCUGACGGUAGAUGGAGAAGAAGCACCGGCUAACUACGUG
rnacentral:rRNA from 1 species